GCCCACCGAUUGUGGUUGAAGCCUGCCCGGGAGCCGCGACUCGCCUACUGGAUCAUCGGUUUUUUCUCCGGUCUUGCCGUAAUGCUGGAGCCCAAGAAGAGGCGAGC
rnacentral:sRNA from 11 species